UUGAAGAGUUUGAUCAUGGCUCAGAUUGAACGCUGGCGGCAGGCCUAACACAUGCAAGUCGAACGGUAACAGGAAGAAGCUUGCUUCUUUGCUGACGAGUGGCGGACGGGUGAGUAAUGUCUGGGAAACUGCCUGAUGGAGGGGGAUAACUACUGGAAACGGUAGCUAAUACCGCAUAACGUCGCAAGACCAAAGAGGGGGACCUUCGGGCCUCUUGCCAUCGGAUGUGCCCAGAUGGGAUUAGCUAGUAGGUGGGGUAACGGCUCACCUAGGCGACGAUCCCUAGCUGGUCUGAGAGGAUGACCAGCCACACUGGAACUGAGACACGGUCCAGACUCCUACGGGAGGCAGCAGUGGGGAAUAUUGCACAAUGGGCGCAAGCCUGAUGCAGCCAUGCCGCGUGUAUGAAGAAGGCCUUCGGGUUGUAAAGUACUUUCAGCGGGGAGGAAGGGAGUAAAGUUAAUACCUUUGCUCAUUGACGUUACCCGCAGAAGAAGCACCGGCUAACUCCGUGCCAGCAGCCGCGGUAAUACGGAGGUGCAAGCGUUAAUCGGAAUUACUGGGCGUAAAGCGCACGCAGGCGGUUUGUUAAGUCAGAUGUGAAAUCCCGGGCUCAACCUGGGAACUGCAUCUGAUACUGGCAAGCUUGAGUCUCGUAGAGGGGGGUAGAAUUCCAGGUGUAGCGGUGAAAUGCGUAGAGAUCUGGAGGAAUACCGGUGGCGAAGGCGGCCCCCUGGACGAAGACUGACGCUCAGGUGCGAAAGCGUGGGGAGCAAACAGGAUUAGAUACCCUGGUAGUCCACGCCGUAAACGAUGUCGACUUGGAGGUUGUGCCCUUGAGGCGUGGCUUCCGGAGCUAACGCGUUAAGUCGACCGCCGGGAGUACGGCCGCAAGGUUAAAACUCAAAUGAAUUGACGGGGCCCGCACAAGCGGUGGAGCAUGUGGUUUAAUUCGAUGCAACGCGAAGAACCUUACGGUCUUGACAUCCACGGAAGUUUUCAGAGAUGAGAAUGUGCCUUCGGGAACCGUGAGACAGGUGCUGCAUGGCUGUCGUCAGCUCGUGUUGUGAAAUGUUGGGUUAAGUCCCGCAACGAGCGCAACCCUUAUCCUUUGUUGCCAGCGGUCCGGCCGGGAACUCAAAGGAGACUGCCAGUGAUAAACUGGAGGAAGGUGGGGAUGACGUCAAGUCAUCAUGGCCCUUACGACCAGGGCUACACACGUGCUACAAUGGCGCAUACAAAGAGAAGCGACCUCGCGAGAGCAAGCGGACCUCAUAAAGUGCGUCGUAGUCCGGAUUGGAGUCUGCAACUCGACUCCAUGAAGUCGGAAUCGCUAGUAAUCGUGGAUCAGAAUGCCACGGUGAAUACGUUCCCGGGCCUUGUACACACCGCCCGUCACACCAUGGGAGUGGGUUGCAAAAGAAGUAGGUAGCUUAACCUUCGGGAGGGCGCUUACCACUUUGUGAUUCAUGACUGGGGUGAAGUCGUAACAAGGUAACCGUAGGGGAACCUGCGGUUGGAUCACCUCCUU
rnacentral:rRNA from 1 species